rnacentral:rRNA from 1 species
UACGGAGGGUGCAAGCGUUAUCCGGAUUUACUGGGUUUAAAGGGUGCGUAGGUGGGUUGGGAAGUCAGUGGUGAAAUACUUUCGCUUAACGAAGGAACUGCCAUUGAUACUAUCAAUCUUGAAUGUAGUGGAGGUAGGCGGAAUGCGUCAUGUAGCGGUGAAAUGCUUAGAUAUGACGCAGAACACCAAUUGCGAAGCAGCUUGCUACACUACUAUUGACACUGAGGCACGAAAGCGUGGGGAUCAAACAGG